AGGCACAGACACGGGCUCAAUGGGGAUAGCUGAUCUGACUACACAGACUGUGCUAGUGGCAGACUCCACUAAACUGGCUAACAGCCUGCACCCUAUCUUAUCAAUCUUUCAGCGGCAUAAGCAAAGCAGGGAGCAUAUACAUGCCCACAUCAGAUGUAAGCUUCUGGGAAAAAGCCGCAUCGAUUAUGUAAUGGACGUAGGUUUGGUAUUCAAACUGCGCAACACAACGAGAAAGUAAGAAGAAACAGGGACGUUAUCAAGCGGUUUAUCGACAUCACUGCAGUUUAGAGAACAUGAAGAGAGUCAAAUCCUGUCCUGCCCUCAGUGGAAGAGUUGAGCUAUUCUCCAACACCAUCCAUCCAUGAUGAGGCUGUCCUGCACUGAAGCCUGUGAACACCUCAACCCCUGUCCUGCACUGAAGUCAAGCCUCUGAACACCUCAACUCAUGCAUUAUACCCUCAUUCAAUCACUCUUGUGAUCCCUUCCCAACAAUUUUCAGAUCCAACUGACAGGCUUUCGGGGUCCAGCUUCAGAUCCAACUGACAGGCUUUCGGGGUCCAGCUUCAGAUCCAACUGACAGGCUUUCGGGGUCCAGCUCCAACUGACAGGUUGAAUACCAUGUGCAAUUUUUUGUUGUUGACGAUUCUAUCAGCCAAUCAGGGCCUGUAUCCACAAAUCAUCUCAGAAAAGGUCCUAGGAAUCCUGUUAAACCUUGUUUUAAGAAGAAGAAAAAAACUCCCAGCUCAGAGUAUGUUUUAGGAUGAUGUUAAGACACUGCUCAGACAAACUGAGCCAGGAGUAAAAUCAACUCAUAAAAGUUUCUCAGCUGGUAAUCAUGACAGUUUGAGGUACCGCAAAGGAAAGCUAGUGACGCUCAUAGACAUUGUUGCAAAUUUUGGGGAAUAACCAAUCGCGAUGAGGCAUCGCCAGCUGUGAACUCUAUAGCAUGCUUCAGACAACUACGGGGAACGUGACUGUACAUCAAAUGUUGAGAUGGUAAAACUUUGCCAACUCACUUUGCCAACUCUUAAUUCUUGCCUAAUAUGAUGACAUAUCUGUGAUAAUGCCUUAAAUCUUCUUUACUUGACAGGAAGUAGUGAAGCUGUGUGUAAUGUAAUGUUCUAAAAUCCAUUUCAUCAAAGUGAGGGUAUCAGAUUUACAGAAAAUGUAAAGUGUUAGCAUAGUGAGAAGUUUUUCUACGAGAUCAUGUAUUGUUUUGUGCAAUAAAAGUACUGUACUUUA